rnacentral:rRNA from 1 species
UACGUAGGGGGCUAGCGUUGUCCGGAAUCAUUGGGCGUAAAGCGCGUGUAGGCGGCCCGAUAAGUCCGCUGUGAAAGUCCAGGGCUCAACCCUGGGAUGCCGGUGGAUACUGUCGGGCUCGAGUCCGGAAGAGGCGAGUGGAAUUCCUGGUGUAGCGGUGAAAUGCGCAGAUAUCAGGAGGAACACCAAUGGCGAAGGCAGCUCGCUGGGACGUGACUGACACUGAGAGACGAAAGCUAGGGGAGCGAAUGGG